rnacentral:tRNA from 1 species
AAAGGGAGACCUAAUUCAGGUAGGAGACGAAAAAAAAGUAGUCCCUACCAAGAAUCAAUCCCAAAAGGUCGGAACGAGGUAUGAGGCUUUCAAACUAGGUUCUGGGUUCAUAAAAGACCUGAAUCAGGAACAAGGGCUAUUAGCUCAGGUGGUUAGAGCGCACCCCUGAUAAGGGUGAGGUCCCUGGUUCGAGUCCAGGAUGGCCCACCUGCACAGGUGGCAAAAACAAGAGAAGAAGCGAGGAAUCAGCACCUUAUCUUACUGACAUAGUAAGAGAGAAUGCUGGCUCUGAGUAAAGAGUCCAGAGGAACCUUGAAAACUGCAUAGAGCUAGGUGAAAAAGCCAAAAAAGAAGACCGCAAG